ACCUCCCCACUAUUCUAAAGCUAUCUAGUACUCGUAUACAAGAAGCACUGGAGGCCUGAAAAUCAUGUCUUCCCUUUCCAUCCUCCACAGGGCUUGCCUCCGCGUCGCCCUGUUCCCGGUCGCGCCCCUGCGCCCUCCUCGUCUCCCACGUUCUCUCCGCUUGCCUCACCGGAGCACCAUGAGCUCAGCCGCGUCUAGGUUGUCCCACAUCGCCACCGCUGCCUCCGGCGCGGCCGGGGAGUCCAAUGAGACGGCGGCGGCUGCAUCUGGCUUGGCCCAAGAAGACGAUGAUCUUUCAUCAGGGGAGAUGGGCUACCGCCUUCCCCCUAAAGAAAUACAGGACAUUGUUGAUGCGCCACCACUUCCUGUCCUGUCGUUCUCACCAAGCAAGGACAAGAUUCUAUUUCUCAAACGUCGAGCACUGCCACCACUAUCUGAUCUUGCAAAACCUGAGGAGAAACUUGCUGGUGUAAGGAUUGAUGGGCAUUCCAACACUAGGAGCCGAAUGUCUUUCUACACUGGAAUAGGUAUCCAUAAGCUGAUGGAUAAUGGGACUCUGGGCCCAGAGAAAGAGGUCCAUGGAUACCCGGAAGGAGCGAGGAUUAAUUUUGUUACUUGGUCCCACGAUGGGCGUCACUUAUCAUUCAGUGUUCGAGUUGAUGAGGAGGACAACAAAAGCAGCAAGCUAAGGGUGUGGGUUGCAGACGUUGAAUCUGGAGCAGCAAGACCACUUUUUAAAUCUCCAGAAAUAUAUUUAAAUGCAAUUUUUGACAGCUUUGUAUGGAUUAACAACUCUACUUUGUUAGUCUGCACUAUCCCUGUAUCAUGUGGAGCUCCACCACAGAAGCCAUCAGUUCCAUCUGGUCCAAAAAUUCAGUCUAAUGAGACAAAGAAUGUUGUCCAAGUGAGGACUUUCCAGGAUCUUCUGAAAGAUGAAUAUGAUGCUGAUCUUUUUGACUACUAUGCAACCUCACAACUCAUGUUGGCAUCUUUGGAUGGAACUGUGAAGCCAAUGGGCCCUCCUGCUGUAUACACAUCCAUUGAUCCAUCACCAGAUGACAAAUACUUGAUGCUUUCUUCCAUCCACCGUCCGUAUUCCUAUAUUGUACCUUGUGGAAGGUUCCCAAAGAAAGUUGAAUUAUGGACUUCAGAUGGAAAGUUUAUUCGAGAACUUUGUGAUUUGCCCCUUGCCGAGGACAUACCGAUAGCGACGAGCAGCGUGCGCAAGGGAAAACGUUCAAUCUUUUGGAGACCAGACAAACCUUCAACGUUGUAUUGGGUCGAGACACAGGAUGGUGGAGAUGCAAAGGUAGAAGUUUCACCACGUGAUAUAGUGUACAUGGAAAAUGCCGAGCUCGUGAAUGGCGAACAGCCGGAAAUUCUACAUAAACUUGACCUCAGAUAUGGAGGAAUCUCCUGGUGUGAUGAAUCUCUUGCUUUGGUGUAUGAAUCAUGGUACAAAACUCGGAAAACAAGGACAUGGGUCAUUUCUCCUGACAAAAAAGAUGUUAGCCCACGUAUUUUAUUUGAUAGAUCUUCAGAAGAUGUGUACUCAGAUCCUGGCUCACCAAUGCUGCGAAGAACUGCCAUGGGAACCUAUGUUAUUGCAAAGGUUAAUAAACAAGACGAAAAUACUUACAUCUUGCUGAAUGGAAUGGGCGCCACGCCAGAAGGAAAUGUUCCAUUCCUUGAUUUGUUUGAUAUAAACACUGGUUGUAAAGAGAGAAUAUGGGAAAGUGAUAAGGAAAAAUACUUCGAAACUGUUGUUGCACUGAUGUCAGACAAAAUUGAUGGGGAACUACCCCUUGAUCAGUUAAAGAUACUCACCUCCAAAGAAUCAAAGACAGAAAAUACACAAUAUUACCUGCAAAUUUGGCCAGAAAAGAAGCAAGUUCAGAUUACAAAUUUCCCCCACCCGUACCCUCAACUUGCUUCAUUGUAUAAGGAAAUGAUAAGAUACCAGCGGAAGGAUGGUGUUCAACUUACUGCAAAGUUAUAUCUACCUCCAGGUUAUGAUGCAUCAAAAGACGGACCAUUGCCAUGUUUAGUUUGGUCCUACCCUGGUGAGUUUAAAAGCAAAGAUGCUGCUGGACAAGUGCGUGGUUCCCCUAAUGAGUUCUCAGGGAUUGGUGCUACAUCCCCUUUGCUUUGGUUGGCUAGAGGGUUUGCUAUUCUUUCAGGUCCGACAAUCCCAAUUAUUGGUGAAGGUGAUGUAGAGGCUAACGAUAGUUAUGUGGAACAACUAGUAACUAGUGCAGAAGCUGCUGUCGAGGAAGUUGUUAGGAGAGGGGUGGUUCAUCCGGAUAAAAUUGCUGUUGGCGGUCAUUCAUAUGGUGCAUUCAUGACUGCCAAUCUCUUAGCUCAUGCCCCCCAUCUUUUCUGCUGUGGAAUUGCUCGUUCUGGUGCUUACAACAGGACUUUAACUCCAUUUGGGUUUCAGAACGAGGACAGAACACUCUGGGAGGCGACCAACACCUAUGUUGAGAUGAGCCCUUUCAUGUCGGCCAACAAAAUUAAGAAACCGAUAUUACUUAUUCACGGAGAACAAGACAAUAAUUCUGGAACACUGACAAUGCAGUCGGACCGAUUCUUCAAUGCCUUGAAAGGUCACGGUGUGCAGUCUCGUUUGGUAAUACUCCCUUUUGAAAGCCAUGGGUACUCUGCUAGGGAGAGCAUUAUGCACGUUCUUUGGGAGUCUGAUAGGUGGCUGCAGAAGUACUGUGUAAACAGUACUAGCAAGGCUGAUUCAGAUUCAGUGUCUGAUUGCAAAAAUGAAACACUGUCAGCUAGUGGUGGUGGAGCAGCUUGUGAAGGUCUAAGCUCCAAUGAACUCUCAUCAAUACCACGAUCACUUCUGUGGAAGAUGAGCCACCAACUCAGAUAGGGCAUAAAUUCCACAUAGAGCAAAGCAUCAACAAUUGUCCAAGCCCUAGCCAAUGAAGCAGCCAUUCCCGGCAUGCCUAUCUGCACCACUCUUGGAUGAACUACGAUUGAGAGAACAUUUCGUAAAAUGAUCUAUGUGAAAUAAAAUCAUCUCUGGACAACAUGUACCCAAGGGGAAAAAUAAAAUGUGCUUCUCCACAGGCGCUUCACUGCUUUUUCAAGGCAAGGCAGGCAUGCUUGACAUUGUAUUUGACUGGAUUUCAGCGGGAGAUUAUUUGACUGAUUUGUGGGUGCUAGGGAAAGCCUUCAAGUUGGUAGAUAUUGCCCCUGGUUGAAUUCUCUCAACUGUAUUCCGUUGGCGGGGAGGCCAAAGAUGCAUGUAAUUUCUUCACACGAUUAAUGAUGAUACUGUAUAGGUGUACAGUAGUGUAUACACCUAGUCUUUUCAUCCCUUGUAGGCAAUCGCCGCAUGAUAGGAAAUUGUCGAUAGCCAUGCCAAGAAAGUAAGAACAGAGGUCCAAACGAGGUGGAAAUAAUAAUUACAUGCAGUCGAUGCCACAUAAAAGUAUAAUAAUAUAUGGCACGACCCUUAA